ACGACCAUACCCACUGAAAUAUACGGGAUCCCGUCCGCUCUCCCCUAGUCAAACCAGUGAGGGCUGGCUUGAUACCAGAGAGAGAUUGGAUCCCAAACAGCUGGCCAAUGGU